rnacentral:rRNA from 1 species
UACGAAGGGGGCUAGCGUUGUUCGGAAUUACUGGGCGUAAAGCGCGCGCAGGCGGCUAUCCAAGUCAGUGGUGAAAGCCCGGAGCUCAACUCCGGAACUGCCAUUGAAACUGUUAGCUUGAGGACGAGAGAGGUGAGUGGAAUUCCCAGUGUAGAGGUGAAAUUCGUAGAUAUUGGGAAGAGCACCGGUGGCGGAAAGGCGGCUCACUGGCUCGUAUCUGACGCUCAGGCGCGAUAGCGUGGGGGAUCAAACAGG